rnacentral:rRNA from 1 species
GACGAACGCUGGCGGCAUGCCUAAUACAUGCAAGUCGAGCGAACAGAUGAAGUGCUUGCACUUCUGACGUUAGCGGCGAACGGGUGAGUAACACGUAAGGAAUCUACCUAUAAGCGGGGGAUAACAUUCGGAAACGGGUGCUAUUACCGCAUAAUAUCUUCUUCCGCAUGGAAGGAGAUUGAAAGACGGCUCUGCUGUCACUUAUAGAUGACCUCGCGGUGCAAUAGUUAGUUGGUGGGGUAACGGCCUACCAAGACGAUGAUGCAUAGCCGACCUGAGAGGGUGAUCGGCCACAUUGGGACUGAGGCACGGCCCAAACUCCUACGGGAGGCAGCAGUAGGGAAUCUUCCGCAAUGGGCGAAAGCCUGACGGAGCAAUGCCGCGUGAGUGAAGAAGGCCUUCGGGUCGUAAAACUCUGUUAUAAGAGAAGAACAAAUUGUAGAGUAACUGCUACAGUCUUGACGGUAUCUUAUCAGAAAGCCACGGCUAACUACGUGCCAGCAGCCGCCGUAA